CGUGCCUAACACAUGCAAGUCGAGCGAAGCACUUUGCUUAGAUUCUUCGGAUGAAGAGGAUUGUGACUGAGCGGCGGACGGGUGAGUAACGCGUGGGUAACCUGCCUCAUACAGGGGGAUAACAGUUAGAAAUGACUGCUAAUACCGCAUAAGACCACAGCACCGCAUGGUGCAGGGGUAAAAACUCCGGUGGUAUGAGAUGGACCCGCGUCUGAUUAGCUAGUUGGUAAGGUAACGGCUUACCAAGGCGACGAUCAGUAGCCGACCUGAGAGGGUGACCGGCCACAUUGGGACUGAGACACGGCCCAAACUCCUACGGGAGGCAGCAGUGGGGAAUAUUGCACAAUGGGGGAAACCCUGAUGCAGCGACGCCGCGUGAGCGAAGAAGUAUUUCGGUAUGUAAAGCUCUAUCAGCAGGGAAGAAAAUGACGGUACCUGACUAAGAAGCACCGGCUAAAUACGUGCCAGCAGCCGCGGUAAUACGUAUGGUGCAAGCGUUAUCCGGAUUUACUGGGUGUAAAGGGAGCGUAGACGGAUGGGCAAGUCUGAUGUGAAAACCCGGGGCUCAACCCCGGGACUGCAUUGGAAACUGUUCAUCUAGAGUGCUGGAGAGGUAAGUGGAAUUCCUAGUGUAGCGGUGAAAUGCGUAGAUAUUAGGAGGAACACCAGUGGCGAAGGCGGCUUACUGGACAGUAACUGACGUUGAGGCUCG
rnacentral:rRNA from 1 species